rnacentral:rRNA from 1 species
GCACAAGCGGUGGAGCAUGUGGUUCAAUUCGACGCAACGCGAAGAACCUUACCCAGGCUUGAACAGCGAGUGACCAACUCCGAAAGGGGUCUUCCGCAAGGACACUCGUAGAGGUGCUGCAUGGCUGUCGUCAGCUCGUGUCGUGAGAUGUUGGGUUAAGUCCCGCAACGAGCGCAACCCUUGUUUGCUGUUGCCAUCACGUUAUGGUGGGCACUCUGCAAAGACUGCCGGUGAUAAACCGGAGGAGGGUGGGGAUGACGUCAAGUCAGCAUGGCCUUUAUGUCUGGGGCUACACACGUGCUACAAUGGCCGGUACAAACCGUCGCGAUACCGUAAGGUGGAGCUAAUCGGAGAAAGCCGGUCUCAGUUCGGAUUGUCGGCUGCAACUCGCCGGCAUGAAGUUGGAAUCGCUAGUAAUCGCGGAUCAGCACGCCGCGGUGAAUACGUUCCCGGGC